GACAAACGCUGGCGGCGUGCCUAAUACAUGCAAGUCGAGCGCAGGAAGCCGACGGAACCCUUCGGGGGGAAGUCGACGGAGUGAGCGGCGGACGGGUGAGUAACACGUAAAGAACCUGCCCUCAGGUCUGGGAUAACCACGAGAAAUCGGGGCUAAUACCGGAUGGGUCAUCGGACCGCAUGGUCCGAGGAUGAAAGGCGCUUCGGCGUCGCCUGGGGAUGGCUUUGCGGUGCAUUAGCUAGUUGGUGGGGUAAUGGCCCACCAAGGCGACGAUGCAUAGCAGACCUGAGAGGGUGAUCGGCCACACUGGGACUGAGACACGGCCCAGACUCCUACGGGAGGCAGCAGUAGGGAAUCUUCCACAAUGGACGAAUGUCUGAUGGAGCAACGCCGCGUGAACGAUGAAGGCCUUCGGGUCGUAAAGUUCUGUUGUAAGGGAAGAACAAGUGCCGCAGGCAAUGGCGGCACCUUGACGGUACCUUGCGAGAAAGCCACGGCUAACUACGUGCCAGCCGCCGCUGUAACAC
rnacentral:rRNA from 1 species